rnacentral:rRNA from 1 species
ACGGUUGACCUCGGAUCAGGUAGGAAUACCCGCUGAACUUAAGCAUAUCAAUAAGCGGAG